rnacentral:rRNA from 1 species
UACGAAGGGGGCUAGCGUUGUUCGGAAUUACUGGGCGUAAAGCGCACGUAGGCGGACAUUUAAGUUGGAGGUGAAAGCCUUGGGCUCAACCCAAGAAUUGCCUUUGAUACUGGAUGUCUCGAGACCGGGAGAGGUGAGUGGAAUUCCGAGUGUAGAGGUGAAAUUCGUAGAUAUUCGGAAGAACACCAGUGGCGAAGGCGGCUCACUGGCUCGGUUCUGACGCUGAGGUGCGAAAGCAUGGGUAGCGAACAGG